UCUGUAGGGCUUGAGAAUGUGAUGUCAUGCAGACUUUUUGGGUUUUGAACAGUUAGGAGACAUUAAAAUACUUCACUUGGCUAACCUUAUUUAGUCACAGGGACAUUGCAAGGGCGGGUUUAGAGAGUUUAAGCUCCUCCCCUCCUAAAUAAUGUAUUACAUUAUUAAUUUAAAUCCUUAGUAGUUUUCCUCAUUCAGCCUUCAUUACCUCAACCUUAUGAUCGCAUUUUCUAAUUCAUAAUAUACUGAGGAUGGGCAGGGCACUAGGACCUGGGGGAGGCUGUUGCUGCUACUCUGAUCCAACAUUUCCUUGGCUGUGUUACUCGCAAGAGUAAAGACUGUAAGUUGAGAGUUAAGGGCCUUGUCCAAAGUCUUAACCACUGAGCUACGACUGCCCAAUACUUGCGUGGACGAAGUUCCUUGUAUUCAGAGAUGGGUUACGCAGCUGCUUAAGUGGAUUUUCUGACUCUACGAUCCAAACAUGCAUCAGUGACAUGCAGCCUGAGCAAACCUCAUCUUCAGGUCCUUCUCGCAAAGAUGGAGAUUCUCGUCACGAUGCGAACCAGUUGUGAAAACCCCCAUGAUAUCAUCACCAUCAGAACCGGUUCCUCAGCAAUAUCAUCUAACGCAGGAGCCAUGGGGUACUGACUGAUCUUCAUAGAUCAAGGUGGUGCUCAACUCCUAGUGCAGGUCUUCGUCAUGUUUGUCUUCUGUGCAUUAAGGCUUCAGGAGCUGGUACACACUUACAUACAGCCCACCUACAUUCAGCUAAAGACUGGUGGAGUGGAAGGGGGGUGUUUUAUCGAGGCCCACGAUUUCUAGCCUUGCUCCUGUCCCUACUGUUCAUUCUGUCCUCAUUGGUUUGGGAAUUAAUAUCGUCAGGAGCCUCAGUCAUUACACAGUUUAAAGUCCAUCAGCCUCACUCCCUUGAGACCUUCGAGGAGAAUCUCCUGCUCUUCUGUGAGCACUUGAUCUUUGAAUGAUGAGCUCUUGUGCACCAACUCAUCCACCAUAUCUGUAUUGUGUUUGUAUUUCAAUCUCUCACUUCAUGUCAUGCAGCAUUUGCUUGAAUUGCUUCUUUUUUUAAUCCUUGAGUGGUACUGUGCAUCUUUUAUCUCUUGGUGCUUCUCUACACUUUCUUAUCUAACUGUUGCUGAGCUCUUACUGUAGCUGCUCUCUGAUUAUAGCUUAAACAGUUCCAUGUAGAGAGGAACCCUUGGAGGAACCCUGUGUGGAAUGGUUUCCAUUUCAGCUUCAAAAAGAAAUCCUUUAGAAAUCUAAGAUUGUUAAACGUUGGAAAAACCUUUUUAGGAGCCAUUUUUCUAAUGAAAGUGUGGAAAAUUAAACAUAAAAAUGUUAACAUUAGCACUAAUCAGGCUCACGUGUCUGCAAUGGUUAAUAUUGUAACAUCAGUACUGGGUCAGAAGCUGACCUGCUGAAGAUUCCUGGUGUUUGUAAUGGAAAAAAAAAGCCUCAUUUCUGGUCAGCUGCCUACGCCCCCGUGUUCUGUUCCUCAUUAGUCACAAUCAGAGAUUUCUGAGAUUUAAUCUGUCUUUAAUCUGUCUAACCGAGUCCAGACGCUCGGCGUAGAGCGUGUGAGUUAUUUCAUGUGUGAGGAUGACCGCGGAUUGCUUUACACUCUACACUGGAUCUUUAUGGCCAUUAAAUUCGACACUCUCCUUUUUUUUCGCUGAAAUGUUGGCAAGACGUCGGAGAAUUCCGAUGCGAGAUUUCUUUCUUUUUUUCCUUCCCAACAUUUGGAAACAAUGAAAUCCAAAAGCACACUUAAGCAUAAUAAUAAGGAGAAGAAUACAGCCCAGUUUAAAUUGUCCGUGCACCCUGACGGCCCAAUAAAAACCCAUUAAAUUUGUCUAACACCCCCCAAUUAUAGUGAUUUAUAACGUGUGUCCACUGUAGCAGGUUGAUCCUCUCGCAAAAAAAAUAAAUAAAUAAAAUAAAAUUCUCUGUGUUUUUCACUCAGUGUUUUUCAGACAAGCUCACAGAUUUCACAGUGAUGGUAUCGAGUCUCGUCACAAAAUCAGACACCCGAUUUCAGCGCCAAAGUCAACACUCUGAAAGUAAACACCGUCUCGUAAAAUAGCUUAACGAGAUAAAAGUUGUGUCUCAGAGGGGAAAUAGCGUACGAACGUCCCAUCAGGAGGUCGGCUUUAAAAACAGAAUCAUCACGCCACACGGAGAACGUUAACACGACCU